rnacentral:rRNA from 1 species
UGUUUAGCAAAAACAUGUCUAUUUGGAGUUUUAAGAAGUCUGGCCUGCCCACUGAUAUAAAAUUUUUAAGGGCCGCGGUAUUAUGACCGUGCUAAGGUAGCAUAAUCAUUAGGUUUUUAAAUGAGAUCUUGUAUGAAUGGUUGAACAAAGAAAAAACUGUCUUUAAUAAUAAAAUUUGAAUUUUACUUUUAAGUGAGAAGGCUUAAAUAAUUUAAGGGGACGAUAAGACCCUAUAAAACUUUACAUUAAAAUUAUAUUUGGUUGAAUUUUAAAGUAAUAAAGAUCUAAAAUAAAGAUUGUUGUGUUGGGGCGACAAAAGUAGAAAUUAUAGUAGCUGCUUGAAAAGGAAUCACUUUUAAGUGAUAAAAGUUAUAGAUCUUAAUUAUAAAUUUAAAGACUAAGUUACUUUAGGGAUAACAGUGUAAUUUUUUUUGAGAGUUCAUAUCGAAAAAAAAGUUUGUAACCUCGAUGUUGAAUUAAAAUAUCUAUAUAAUGAAGUAGUUGUAUAAGAGGGUCUGUUCGACCUUUAAUUUUUUACAUGAUUUGAGUUCAAAUCGGCGUGAGCCAGGUUGUUU